rnacentral:rRNA from 1 species
GAUGAACGCUAGCGAUAGGCCUAACACAUGCAAGUCGAGGGGUAGCACAGAGUAGCAAUACUUGGGUGACGACCGGCGCACGGGUGAGUAACACGUAUGCAACCUACCUAUAACAGGGAGAUAACCCGGAGAAAUCCGGACUAAUACCCCAUAACACAGGGAUGCCGCAUGGCAAUAUUUGUUAAAGAUUAAUCGGUUAUAGAUGGGCAUGCGUUCCAUUAGCCAGUCGGUGAGGUAACGGCUCACCAAAGCAACGAUGGAUAGGGGAACUGAGAGGUUUGUCCCCCACACUGGAACUGAGACACGGACCAGACUCCUACGGGAGGCAGCAGUGAGGAAUAUUGGUCAAUGGGCGAGAGCCUGAACCAGCCAAAUCGCGUGAAGGAAGACUGCCCUACGGGUUGUAAACUUCUUUUAUAGGGGAAUAAAAAAGGGAACGAGUUCCCUAUUGUAUGUACCCUAUGAAUAAGCAUCGGCUAACUCCGUGCCAGCAGCCGCGGUAA